GACCUCAGCUCAAGCAAGACCUACCCGCUGAACUUAAGCAUAUCAAUAAGCGGAGGAAAAGAAACUAACAAGGAUUCCCCUAGUAGCGGCGAGUGAAGCGGGAAGAGCUCAAAUUUUAAAUCUACCUGGCUCUGCCAGGUCGAAUUGUAGUUUGAAGAAGCGAAUCGAUAUUGAAGUCUGGUCUAAGUUCUUUGGAACAAGACAUCAGGGAGGGUGAGAAUCCCGUUCAUGAUCAGACCAAGAUACUAAGUAUUCGCUUUCAAAGAGUCGAGCUGUUUGGGAAUGCAGCUCAAAAUGGGUGGUAGAUUUCACCUAAGGCUAAAUAUCAGCGAGAGACCGAUAGCGAACAAGUACUGUGAAGGAAAGAUGAAAAGAACUUUGAAAAGAGAGUUAAAUAGUACGUGAAAUUGUUGGAAGGGAAACGAUUGAAGUCAGUCAUGCCAGUGAAAACUCAGUUUGUCGGUAAUCUAGUUCAGGAGUAGAGGCAGGGUCAAACCGUCUCUUUUUUGGAUGGGAUUUUUGGCAGAUGGAAUUUUUUUCUGGCAGGUCAGCGUCGGUUUCGGGGGUUGUAAAAUACUUGGGGUAAAGUAGCUCUGCUUCGGGAGAGUGUUAUAGACCUUUGGGGAUGCAGCCCGCGGGAUCGAGGAUUGCAGCAAAUGCUUCUUGGCUUGUCGCCUGAUCUCUGGAUGUUACCUUGCUUGUGACAACAUCCUUGCCACCUGCGAGUACUAAUGCUCACUAGGUUAGAGCGAUCAAAAAUUUUGCUAAGGAUGCUGACGUAAUGGCUUUAAACGACCCGUCUUGAAACACGGACCAAGGAGUCUAACAUAUGUGCGAGUGUUU
rnacentral:rRNA from 1 species